rnacentral:lncRNA from 1 species
CAGCUAUGUACAGAUCAUGGUAUGUAGAGAUACAGCCACAACCUGAAGGGCCUCAUCCCCUCUCUAUUUUAUAUGAUCUCCUCUAUCCUGAUAAUUACUCCUCUGCCUCCUGCUGAAGAUUAUAUGAAGCACAUUCUUCUCUAAAGUCACAGGACUCCAGGUGAUGUAGCCUGGUGCACAGGGUAGGCAAAGCAUUCCAAAGCCUUCAGAGAUGCCUUGCACAGUGGCCAUCUGUCUCUGCAGUGAUAUCCAAAUAUACAUCCUCCAUUGCUAAUGUUCUUCCAGGGCUUUUGAUUUUUUCUUUUCCCAGUGCUCUUAUUUCUUCAUGAUUCUUACAGGAACGAAGUACUAUUGUGGUUUUUAUUCCACUAU